AUCUCUUUAGUAUAACUCGUACAUGUUCCUUCCAAGAAUAAAGUCCCAAAUAGGGAAGAGAUA
rnacentral:tRNA from 1 species